rnacentral:rRNA from 1 species
UCAAGUAAUGAAGUGCACAUGGUGGAUGCCUUGGCAGUCAGAGGCGAUGAAAGACGUGACAGCCUGCGAAAAGCGUCGGGGAGGCGGCAAUAUCCUGUGAUCCGGCGAUAUCUGAAUGGGGAAACCCACCUACCAUAAGGUAGGUACCCCGCUAUAUUUUAUAGCGGGGGGCAAACCGGGAGAAGUGAAACAUCUCAGUAACCCGAGGAAAAGACAUCAAUAGAGAUUCCCCUAGUAGCGGCGAGCGAACGGGGAGGAGCCGACUGAUUAUAAUUUAGAGGAAUGACUUGGAAAGGUCAAUCGUAGAGGGUGAUAAUCCCGUACUCGAAAGGUUAUAAGAAGCAUAUUAAGUAGGGCGGAACACGAGAAAUUCUGUCUGAACAUGGGGGGACCAUCCUCCAAGGCUAAAUACUCCUGACCGACCGAUAGUGAACCAGUACCGUGAGGGAAAGGCGAAAAGAACCCCUGUGAGGGGAGUGAAAUAGAACCUGAAACCGUGUGCAUACAAGCAGUCGGAGCCCC